GCCGGGUGUGGUGGCUCACACCUGUAAUCCCAGCACUUUGGGAGGCUGAGGCAGGUGGAUCACCUGAGGUCAGGAGUUCGAGACCAGCCUGGCCAACAUGGUGAAACCCUGUCUCUA
rnacentral:sRNA from 1 species